GGGGAUGGGGCGGCCUGGAUCCUGGGCCCAAGCAGAUGUGCGGGAGCGCGCGCACGAGUGCGCGCAUGCGCGUGGGCCAGGGCCAGAGCCCGGUGAGGGACACAGCUGAGGCUGCGGCGGUGCUGUGAGUUGGCUCCCAGACCGCCUGCCGCCCCAAGCCCCCAAGUGUCUGGGCCAGCCAGGGACUGACGCCCACCUCAGCCCCCGACCGGGGACAUGCUGCUGCCUGGCGCCUGCGACUCGGUAGCCAUGGCAUUGGCGGUAGGGGUAGCGGUAGUGCUCACGGGGCGCUCGCGGGAGCGUGGGCGGAGCCCGCGUGGAGAAGACUGGGAGCCACGAGCCUCCAGCCUCGGAGGGUGGCGGCCCUGCUGCUCCUGCUGCUCCUGGAGCCAGAGAUCAGGGCGCGGGACGCGCUUCCCAGGCGCCUCUGUCUUUGGCCGCGCUGGUGGAGUGCCAGCACUGGCUGGAGCAGAGCACGAUGCGAUGCCCCCCCGGCGCCCCGGAAAGACCAUCUGGGAGAAGCCUAAAGGUGGAGCAGCUGAGACCCACAGCCUCCCUCCAGGACCUGCCUCAGUCGCGGUGCUGCCAAGAUGCACAGUGGCUCUGAGGGGAUGAAGACUUGGCAGUCUAGUCAGCGACUAACCUGGAUGCGGCAGGUUCCUGAAAGUACCACAUGAUCUCUGCUUGUUUCCCUCCUCUCUUCCUUUGCCAUUUGAAUACCCACCAUACAUGAAGAGGCUCAGGUGAUUGAUGUCUGAGAACAGGAUGCUGACUGUUCCCUCAGAUGCACAGUGGCUCUGAGGGGAUGAAGACUUGGCAGUCUAGUCAGCGACUAACCUGGAUGCGGCAGGUUCCUGAAAGUACCACAUGAUCUCUGCUUGUUUCCCUCCUCUCUUCCUUUGCCAUUUGAAUACCCACCAUACAUGAAGAGGCUCAGGUGAUUGAUGUCUGAGAACAGGAUGCUGACUGUUCCCUCAGAUGCACAGUGGCUCUGAGGGGAUGAAGACUUGGCAGUCUAGUCAGCGACUAACCUGGAUGCGGCAGGUUCCUGAAAGUACCACAUGAUCUCUGCUUGUUUCCCUCCUCUCUUCCUUUGCCAUUUGAAUACCCACCAUACAUGAAGAGGCUCAGGUGAUUGAUGUCUGAGAACAGGAUGCUGACUGUUCCCUCAGAUGCACAGUGGCUCUGAGGGGAUGAAGACUUGGCAGUCUAGUCAGCGACUAACCUGGAUGCGGCAGGUUCCUGAAAGUACCACAUGAUCUCUGCUUGUUUCCCUCCUCUCUUCCUUUGCCAUUUGAAUACCCACCAUACAUGAAGAGGCUCAGGUGAUUGAUGUCUGAGAACAGGAUGCUGACUGUUCCCUCAGAUGCACAGUGGCUCUGAGGGGAUGAAGACUUGGCAGUCUAGUCAGCGACUAACCUGGAUGCGGCAGGUUCCUGAAAGUACCACAUGAUCUCUGCUUGUUUCCCUCCUCUCUUCCUUUGCCAUUUGAAUACCCACCAUACAUGAAGAGGCUCAGGUGAUUGAUGUCUGAGAACAGGAUGCUGACUGUUCCCUCAGGUAAGAGUUAAGUGCCAGACCUGGGCAAACCAUUUUGAGUACCUCCUAGCUCAUGUAUUUUAACUGCCUCUUUGUGGAGUGUAAACCUCUUAGACCUUAACCUAGAGGACCUUGGUGCAGAAAAGCUUAGCAGAUGGAGGGGAAAAUGGAAACAGAGUUGGAUAUAGAUGUUAGCCUCAGGGGAAAGAAUGUGGUUUGAGUUGGGAAAUGAGGAGGUGGGUAAAGGGAAGGUGCAGAUAUGUAUCAGGUGGCCCUCCUGCCAUCUCACUCCCUCUCUCUCCAUAGUAAGGAAACAUGAACAAAUAUUAACAGAACGUUCCCCAGGGCAGGUGCUGGCCCCGGUCACAGCCAUUCAUUCGCUUUGUAAUUAACUUGACGGUGUUACUUUAGCAUUAUUGAGUAUUUGAGUAUUAUUAUUUGAGGAGCACUGGGUUCAUGUACAGCCACCUCCCUGGGAAACCAGCUUUGCAAAAGCUUCCUGGGUCUCUUGAGGGGUGACAGGGAGGUGUCCACCUUGGGAGGAGACACCUGCCAGUCCCUGUCCCACUGGCCUGGUCUCUGGAGC